rnacentral:rRNA from 1 species
UACGGAGGGUGCAAGCGUUGUCCGGAAUCACUGGGCGUAAAGCGUGCGCAGGCGGUCUGUUAAGACCGAUGUGAAAUCCCCGGGCUUAACCUGGGAACUGCAUUGGUGACUGGCAGGCUUUGAGUGUGGCAGAGGGAGGUAGAAUUCCACGUGUAGCAGUGAAAUGCGUAGAGAUGUGGAGGAAUACCGAUGGCGAAGGCAGCCUCCUGGGCCAACACUGACGCUCAUGCACGAAAGCUAGGGGAGCAAACAGG